AACAUCGUACCAUUAGCAAUAGAUAGAAACUCAAUACAACAGCAGAACACACAAUAUAUCUUUUUCUACAUACAAUGCCAUGAUUUAUUAUACAUAAUUGUUGGCAAGUACAUGUCAAGCGAAACAAUUUUUCAACAGAAAUGACUUCUUUUGAGUGGUGCAUGUCAAAACAAUGAUAUUUUAUUUUCUUGAUCCUCCGAAUUUGGGCGAAGAGAACGUAACAAGAGAAGUGAAGCAAUGCCACCACCUAGUACCUGCAUUUAGUACACUUCUAUUUGAGAUCGUAGCUUAAGGCAGUGAGGUUGCAAGUUCAAACACAUGCCUGAAUUGAACUCAAAUAAGAAACUGAAAUCCAACUACAAUAAGAAUUGAACUGAAUGAAAUUUAUAAAUUGAACCAAACUGAAAGACGAAAUUGGACAUCAUAUGUAGAACAAGAAAUAAACUUGAGCAGUAUUAGCUACUAAACAAAAAGAUUGCUUUACUAAACCUAGAGAUUUCAUAUUGGUGAAAUUUUUCUUCCUACAGAACCGUAAAUCAAAUACAUGUACUGUUGGCUAGGUUGUAGCAACAUGAUAAGUAGUAGCAGUACUACUCUAGGUGGCAAAGUAGUAGCGCCACAAAGGAAGGCCACCAUCAAUAGUGCAUACUACCGCGACACCUAAAGUAUGUGUUGGCCACACUUGCUUUACAUAGUACUACAAGCUUUUCAUUAAAAAAUGUACUACAAGAUUUGUGAACAUGAGGUCGUAGAGAAGUUGUACUAAGAGUGUGGAUUAGAGCGGCCUGACAAGGAUGCAGCAGCACACACACACACACACACACCACAAGAUAAGUUUCUGGGGUUCUUAAUGAGCUAAUGAUAGAAAACAUGUUGAACUGAAAUUUGGACUUCCAGGACUAUCGAAUGUUUUGGCUUCUUUUAUGAACCUUUUUGUUAUUUUUUUCUUAACUAAAAACCAAAAUUAAUAUCACAAUACACACAUGUACUACACAACAAUGAGCGUUUGUACUGUCCAUGUAAACGAAUUAACCAAAAACAACUAAUUUAUGGAGGAAACCAUGUUUAUGUUGCUUAGUACACCAUGUGAUGUAACUACAAACUCCUUUUCUCUCUGAAAAAAACAUGAUUCACAAGUGACCUACAUUUCUAGCAUCAGGUACAUACUUGUCAUGAACUGAUAGAAUUACUCAAGUAGACCAAAUUCGAACUAGAUUAGAAGAAAUUCUACAGAGCAUCAUUUCUAGCAUCUGUACAUACUUGUCCUUUUACGGACUGAUGGUAGAUAUACAUGGCGAACUGCUAUACCACCUACAGAGCAUCAUUUUUACGAGAAAACACAAUUCAUCAUUUAUCAAAAUUACGAGUUUCUUUGGACAUAACCAAAACAAGAAUUUGAACAACAAGGAGGAGCACGGCGACGGGCGUGUGGCCGGGAGGUGGAGAGGGGCGACGGUGGAGGUUGUGGAAGGUUGGCCCGAGGGUGGUGGCGGGCAUUGCGUCGGGGAUUGACCCACUUCGGAUUUGGUGGAGUGGCCUGGAGUGAGUUUUUUUCUUUUGCUUUUUUCUGUUUGGUGUACUGGUUCGCUCUUAAUCUAACAGUACAUUUGUCUUGUAGAUUUCCAUUUGUCCAAAACAAGAAGGAAACACUCCAAUACUUAACAACUAAUCUAUUAGUACAUCCAGAACAAUUUCAAUUUUCAGAACAAACUUCCAUUGAUGUGUUAUACUAUGAAUCUGUAUAUAGGACAUGAUGGGUCUCAGGCUACUUUCAAAAUAGGUUGCAUCACGGGAGAAAUUACCUCUACCUCCUGCUUGGAUAGAGGAUACGUACUUCCAAUACACGA
rnacentral:lncRNA from 1 species